rnacentral:rRNA from 1 species
GACGAACCGUGCGAACGUUAUUCGGAAUCACUGGGCUUAAAGGGUGCGUAGGCGGGUUGCCAAGUCUGUGGUGAAAUCCUCCGGCUUAACCGGAGAACUGCCGUGGAUACUGGCGACCUCGAGGGGGAUAGGGGCUUGCGGAACUGUGCGUGGAGCGGUGAAAUGCGUUGAUAUGCACAGGAACUCCGGUGGCGAAGGCGGCGCUCUGGACCGAGACUGACGCUGAGGCGCGAAAGCGUGGGGAGCAAACAGG